rnacentral:rRNA from 1 species
ACGUAGGAAGCGAGCGUUAUCCGGAUUUACUGGGCGUAAAGCGCGUGUAGGCGGUUGUGUAAGUUGGAUGUGAAAGCUCCUGGCUUAACUGGGAGAGGUCGUUCAAUACUGCAUGACUUGAGGAUGAGAGAGGGAAGUGGAAUUCCGGGUGUAGUGGUGAAAUGCGUAGAUAUCCGGAGGAACACCAGUGGCGAAAGCGGCUUCCUGGCUCAUAUCUGACGCUCAGACGCGAAAGCUAGGGGAGCGAACGGGAUUAGAGACCCCGGUAGUCCUAGCUGUAAACGAUGUGGACUUGGCGUCGGUGGGUUUAAAUCCAUCGGUGCCGAAGCAAACGCGAUAAGUCCACCGCCUGGGGACUACGGCCGCAAGGUUA